rnacentral:rRNA from 1 species
CCUACGGGCGGCAGCAGUGAGGAAUAUUGGUCAAUGGGCGCGAGCCUGAACCAGCCAAGUAGCGUGAAGGAUGACUGCCCUACGGGUUGUAAACUUCUUUUAUAAAGGAAUAAAGUGAGGCACGUGUGCCUUUUUGUAUGUACUUUAUGAAUAAGGAUCGGCUAACUCCGUGCCAGCAGCCGCGGUAAUACGGAGGUUGCAAGCGUUGUCCGGAAUUACUGGGUGUAAAGGGGGCGCAGGCGGGAAGCCAAGUCCGCUGUGAAAACUACGGGCUUAACUUCGGGACUGCAGGUGAAACUGGUGUUCUUGAGUGAAGUAGAGGUUGGCGGAAUUCGGGGUGUAGCGGUGAAAUGCGUAGAUAGUCGGCAGAACACCGGUGGCGAAGGCGGCCAACUGGGCUUUAACUGACGCUGAGGCUCGAAAGUGUGGGGAGCGAACAGGAUUAGAUACCCGGGUAGUC